rnacentral:lncRNA from 1 species
GUUUAUUUAUCAUUAAUUGUUUAUUUUCAGUGAUCCUAAAGUCAAACCUGUCUCUGGGAAGUCUGAUGCUAUGUGAUGAAUGUGAUGAGUCCAUCUCUCUGUUAUGUGUUGUGUCCUUCCCAAAGCAGAAAAAGCCUAAAAUGUGCAAGAAGGUUGCCACAAAAUGUAUCACACAUAGAUCUUCUGAAUUACAGAAACCGCCUCUUUGAGCCCAGGCCAGGUUAGUGGCUCGAUGGCACUGAAGGUUACUUUUGUAGCUGAGGACUGAAGAGGAGCUCCAGUUGUGUGAGGCUGUAGUUUAAAUGACCAGAUACCCGGCUAGAUACAGGCAGCUUGUGUGCAAAGUCUGAGCAUCCACUUGAUUCAUCCAAACACAUCAUAGCUGUGCAGUUACCAGAGAGCUGUGGUAUAUAUCAGGUAUGUAUUACACACACUGAUUUCUCCAGCAUGGUCUGUUACUGCCAGAAAUGGGAAUUAGCUGGACAGUAUA